GUGUUUUAUAAGCUCCAUAUCAUAGAGAUCAAUUGAAAGAAAUACCAAUAGAUUUUGAAGUGGGGCCAAUUUUGCCCCUUAUAGCCCCUUCUCCUUUCUUGCUAUUGCACAAUACUUGAUAUGGAAUCCUGAUUUAGACCAACUUGAAAACUGGGCCCAUAAUCAAAAAUCAAAGUACAUAUUUAGAUAAAGCAUAUCAAAUAAGCCCAAGAAUUUAAUUUAUGUUAAAAUCAAACUUAGUUUAAUUUUGGACCCUUUGGACGUUAAUGUAAACCAAUUUGAAAACGGACCAAAAAUUAAG
rnacentral:lncRNA from 1 species